rnacentral:lncRNA from 1 species
UAUAAUCUCUUGAUACUCAUACUCUCUUAUUCUCAACUUAAUUUACUCUUCAUCACUUAUCUCUCUGUUUACUAUGUUCCUCAUUGUCUUUUACUCUCAUAUUAAUCAUCUUUUCUUACAUGGUAUCAGAGCUUUAAGCUCCUGAACCUCACAAAAGCUUCCGCAAAUCUAAUUCAUUCUCAGUUCAUCUUCAUCUGAGUCUGGUACAACCUUUUGUCCAGCGGUCCAAAGGUUUUCCAAAGAAGGAAGAACCCACAACCAGCUCUAAGGCAAGGUGUAUACAAGUCUCUAAGCCUCAAGAACCCUCAUCAAGCUCAACCAGUUCAGUCUACCACUCAUUUUUCUUGAAGAUUCUUGAGCACACUCUUUUAUCCAGCGGUCUAUUGUUUUCCAAAGUUUCCAAUCUCUUUUCCCCUGUCAAAUAUGGUGAAGAAACCACUUGAAAGCAAAAGUUUAUGGAGUAGUUUGCCUAGCAAAGCUUCAAAACUACCUUGUACAAGUGGUUCUCUUUCUCUAUCCAAGAAGAGAGCUUCCAAGAAGGUGGCGACUCUCAAGCAUGAAGAAAGGAGGAGACUUUGGUGUGAUGGAUACAAGAAGGAGGUCAUGUACUUAAAGAGAAGGAGUUGGAGUUCAACUCAACAUCUCAGAUCCAACAAAUUGUCAUGACCCAUGUGUAUUGGAGGUUCAAGGAACCAGCUCAGGUUCCUUGGUUGUAAGUUAAACCUCUCCUUCUUGAUAUGAGUUUGGGAUAAUGGUUCUGGUUGUGUUGAGUGGUGUGUUUAGUAUACUUGGGACAUGUUCAAGUUGCUAGAGUUGUUGAACCUAGUUCAUGUCUCAAGAUACUUAAGUUGUGUUUGUUGAUUCUGUUUUUAAAUUAUUUCUAAGUUUACCAGCAUGGUUAUGACUAGUUAUUGUUUUAGGUCAAUUGUUUGAGUUGUGUAAGGUCUAGGCGAGUUGUCUAGAACCUGUUUUGUGUCUUGUUGCAUUGCUAGAAGUCUAGGAGAGUUUCCUGGUCUUGUAAUGCAUCUAUAUGUUGUUUCUAGUCUUGUUUGCAUCCAUAUGUUGUUUCUGGUCCUGUGAUGCAUUCAUGAACUGCUUGGGAUGAUUAGAUGAGUUAUCUAGUCCAUGUUUUGACAUUUAAUUAAUCAUGUUGUUACUUAAAUGGUCAUUAAAAAUAGCCUAAAUGCCUUGUAAUUGAUGAGUUAUCAUACCUGAGCAUUUAGUGAAUAGUUUGCAUGGAUUUGAACUGAAUGAGUUGUUUAGAUUCUAUCUAUUGCAUUUUCUUAAAACAUUGGGAUCAGGAUUGGUGAGUUACCAAGGUCUGAUCCUAGUGUGUGUGGUCUGAUUCUUGCUGGAGUUUGAGUGAUGUUUCAGGUACACAAGUGUUGUUCUCUGUCCAUCAUCAAAUCAAGACAAAGACGAAGACUUUUCCCAUGCUGUUCAGAGCCUACACAUGUGUACAUUCCUGUAUGAUCCAGAGCCUACACAGUGUGUAUAUUCCUGACCAUGGAGAGAUUGUUUGUGUGAGGAGUCCAGAUGGUAAUAAGUCGUGGCUGAGAUAGAAUAUGGCUGAGCUUUGAAGAUACUUCAGGAAGGAGUAUUGAUGGAGAGGCAGACCAGUGUUUGAUCAGCCAUCCACCAGGCUGAAUCUCCUCAUGAAUUGCAAGAACCGGUUGACUUAAGCGCAGACCGUUUGGUUGUUGAGCUCCUGGUUCAAAAGACUUACAAGAGGCAGGGGAGAAGAGAUCAAGGGAGGAACCGGUUAGCUUAAGCGCAGCUGUUAGGGUGAUGCACUCCUGGUUUCAAGACUCAGUGUUGCUCACUUCCAAGCUUGGUCCUUCACUCAUUUUCUCCGGAUCAAGCUUGAGGAGGGGUAAUGGUGAGCAAUCCUGAAGGUCCAAGUCAUAUGUUGCCUCAGUUACCUCUAAAGGCAUUGGAGCAGAGACCAAGGGUGGAUCAGUUGGCUUAAGCGCAUGUGUUGGUACUGUUGUGCUCCUGGUUUAGGUUCAAUAUUGCGCACUUUCCAAGCUUGGUCCUUCACUUAUACUCUCCGGAUCAAGCUUGAGGAGGGGUAAUGGUGAGCAUCAUUCCUGAAGGUUCAAGUCGUCCAUUGCCUCACCAGAGAUCAGAAGUGGAGUUGAAGUGGAGUUCACCAGCCAUCUAGAACCCACUACAAAGAAACAUCAACAUGGACAUCAACAACUUGGUGUUAGAACAGAUGGCCAUCAUAGACUACUUGACAAGAAAAUCAGGUGGAGCUGAGUGGAAUGCUAUGGAUCAGCCCAAGGCGUGGAGUUAGAACAGUUACCUUCUGGUUGGGAAGCUAUGGAUCAACUACUAUAUAGAGUUAGAGCAGUUACCUUCAGUUGGAACAAUACCUUCUGGUUGGGAAGCUAUGGAUCAGCUACUAUAUGGAGUUAGAACAGAUACCUUCAGUUGGGAAGCUUUGAAUCAGCCCAUAGCAUGUGUGCUUGUACCUGGUUGAUGAAGUUUAAGGAAGCCAGCAAAUGGUGAUUUACAAUCUGGCCACAUAUAUGCAAGGACACAAGGAGUAUUCAACUAGGGAUUUUCUUGGCUGAGCAAUCACAUGAUGGUGGCAGAUCAUGGAGUUGCAACGUCCCCCUACAUGUUGAAAGCUUCAAGAGUGACAAUGCACAGACUGGUUGAGAAGCAGCUGGUGUGAGGGAUUCAAGUGUUCAGUACUCCUCACCAGCAUUCCAGAAAUGUUUACAAGGUACCUAUUGAGCUCAUGAGAAAAGGCAGGCUUGGAUUCAACCCUAAAUGGAAGCAAGAAGCUAGAAGAAAGGGGGAGACAAGCUCUGGUCAUAAGAAGAAGCUCAAAGGUUGUUUUAAGUGUGAAGCAAGGAAGGCAUUGGAGUCUGCUUGCCAUUGAAGUAAGGCCAUGAUCCAGAGUUUAUGAGUCCCUCAACAUCAUCAUAAGGCUCAUAAACUCACUGGCCAAUCCCUAGGCUGAGAGGCUUGUACUCUUUUCCUAAGUGUGGUUUUAUCCCAAAGGGUUUUCUAUGCUUAGGUUUUUAAUGAGGCAAGUACUCUCAGUUCCAAGCUUGCCCAAGGAUCUCCUAUGGUCAAGCUUGAGGGGGAGUGUUGACAUGAAGCAGAAUUAAGCAGCUAGACUUGAGAAUUAAGCUGCCAGACUUGAAAAUACUUAUAAGGUCUUAUAAGAUCUUAUAAGGUUUUAUAAGGUUUUAUAAAGGUUUUAUAAGGCUUUAUAAGAAGCACCAGACUUGAGAUGUAAGUUGCCAGACUUGAGACUUGAGUGCCAGACUUGAGCCUAAGAGUGAAAUUCGUGCAACUUCAACUUGAGAGGCAAAUUUGAAUUCAAAUUAGGUUCUGACCUUUGGAGAGAGAGGCUGGACAAGUGGGGAUUAAAAUAACAUGUUGGAGAGAAGAGAGAUGGCUGUUAGGAGCUGUCACUAUCACAUUGGAAGCUCUCCUGCAUCUCAGCCAUCCAAUUCAAAUUAAUUCAGAUCCUCCCAUCCCAACCAUUCAUUUUGAAUCCAGAUCUAUCUCUCUUUGUCUUUUUCUUCUCAUUUGUCUAGUGUGUGUGUUGGCUAUAAAGAGCCCUCAUUGUAAUCAAUUAUAAUCUAAGCUGAAAGAGGGGAGUUCCCCUUUCUUCUUCACCAUUCUCUUCUCUCUUGGUUACUGUCAAUCUCUAUAAUCUCUUGAUACUCAUACUCUCUUAUUCUCAACUUAAUUUACUCUUCAUCACUUAUCUCUCUGUUUACUCUGUUCCUCAUUGUCUUUUACUCUCAUAUUAAUCAUCUUUUCUUACAUGGUAUCAAAGCUUUAAGCUCCUGAACCUCACAAAAGCUUCCGCAAAUCUAAUUCAUUCUCAGUUCAUCUGAGUCUGAGUCUGGUACAACCUUUUGUCCAGCGGUCCAAAGGUUUUCCAAGAAGGAAGAACCCACAACCAGCUCUAAGACAAGGUGUAUACAAGUCUCUAAGCCUCAAGAACCCUCAUCAAGCUCAACCAGUUCAGUCUACCACUCAUUUGUCUUGAAGAUUCUUGAGCACACUCUUUUAUCCAGCGGUCUAUUGUUUUCCAAAGUUUUCAAUCUCUUUUCCCCUGUCAAAUAUGGUGAAGAAACCACUUGAAAGCAAAAGUUUAUGGAGUAGUUUGCCUAGCCAAGCUUCAAAACUACCUUGUACAAGUGGUUCUCUUUCUCUAUCCAAGAAGAGAGCUUCCAAGAAGGUGGCGACUCUCAAGCAUGAAGAAAGGAGGAGACUUUGGUGUGAUGGAUACAAGAAGGAGGUCAUGUACUUAAAGAGAAGGAGUUGGAGUUCAACUCAACAUCUCAGAUCCAACAAAUUGUCAUGACCCAUGUGUAUUGGAGGUUCAAGGAAGCAGCUCAGGUUCCUUGGUUGUAAGUUAAACCUCUCCUUCUUGAUAUGAGUUUGGGAUAAUGGUUCUGGUUGUGUUGAGUGGUGUGUUUAGUAUACUUGGGACAUGUUCAAGUUGCUAGAGUUGUUGAACCUAGUUCAUGUCUCAAGAUACUUAAGUUGUGUUUGUUGAUUCUGUUUUUAAAUUAUUUCUAAGUUUACCAGCAUGGUUAUGACUAGUUAUUGUUUUAGGUCAAUUGUUUGAGUUGUGUAAGGUCUAGGCGAGUUGUCUAGAACCUGUUUUGUGUCUUGUUGCAUUGCUAGAAGUCUAGGAGAGUUUCCUGGUCUUGUAAUGCAUCUAUAUGUUGUUUCUAGUCUUGUUUGCAUCCAUAUGUUGUUUCUGGUCCUGUGAUGCAUUCAUGAACUGCUUGGGAUGAUUAGAUGAGUUAUCUAGUCCAUGUUUUGACAUUUAAUUAAUCAUGUUGUUACUUAAAUGGUCAUUAAAAAUAGCCUAAAUGCCUUGUAAUUGAUGAGUUAUCAUACCUGAGCAUUUAGUGAAUAGUUUGCAUGGAUUUGAACUGAAUGAGUUGUUUAGAUUCUAUCUAUUGCAUUUUCUUAAAACAUUGGGAUCAGGAUUGGUGAGUUACCAAGGUCUGAUCCUAGUGUGUGUGGUCUGAUUCUUGCUGGAGUUUGAGUGAUGUUUCAGGUACACAAGUGUUGUUCUCUGUCCAUCAUCAAAUCAAGACAAAGACGAAGACUUUUCCCAUGUUGUUCAGAGCCUACACAUGUGUACAUUCCUGUAUGAUCCAGAGCCUACACAGUGUGUAUAUUCCUGACCAUGGAGAGAUUGUUUGUGUGAGGAGUCCAGAUGGUAAUAAGUCGUGGCUGAGAUAGAAUAUGGCUGAGCUUUGAAGAUACUUCAGGAAGGAGUAUUGAUGGAGAGGCAGACCAGUGUUUGAUCAGCCAUCCACCAGGCUGAAUCUCCUCAUGAAUUGCAAGAACCGGUUGACUUAAGCGCAGACCGUUUGGUUGUUGAGCUCCUGGUUCAAAAGACUUACAAGAGGCAGGGGAGAAGAGAUCAAGGGAGGAACCGGUUAGCUUAAGCGCAGCUGUUAGGGUGAUGCGCUCCUGGUUUCAAGACUCAGUGUUGCUCACUUCCAAGCUUGGUCCUUCACUCAUUUUCUCCGGAUCAAGCUUGAGGAGGGGUAAUGGUGAGCAAUCCUGAAGGUCCAAGUCAUAUGUUGCCUCAGUUACCUCUAAAGGCAUUGGAGCAGAGACCAAGGGUGGAUCAGUUGGCUUAAGCGCAGGUGUUGGUACUGUUGUGCUCCUGGUUUAGGUUCAGUAUUGCUCCCUUUCUAAGCUUGGUCCUUCACUUAUACUCUCCGGAUCAAGCUUGAGGAGGGGUAAUGGUGAGCAUCAUUCCUGAAGGUUCAAGUCGUCCAUUGCCUCACCAGAGAUCAGAAGUGGAGUUGAAGUGGAGUUCACCAGCCAUCUAGAACCCACUACAAAGAAACAUCAACAUGGACAGCAACAACUUGGUGUUAGAACAGAUGGCCAUCAUAGACUACUUGACAAGAAAAUCAGGUGGAGCUGAGUGGAAUGCUAUGGAUCAGCCCAAGGCGUGGAGUUAGAACAAUUACCUUCUGGUUGGGAAGCUAUGGAUCAGCUACUAUAUAGAGUUAGAGCAGUUACCUUCGGUUGGAACAAUACCUUCUGGUUGGGAAGCUAUGGAUCAGCUACUAUAUGGAGUUAGAACAGAUACCUUCAGUUGGGAAGCUUUGAAUCAGCCCAUAGCAUGUGUGCUUGUACCUGGUUGAUGAAGUUUAAGGAAGCCAGCAAAUGGUGAUUUACAAUCUGGCCACAUAUAUGCAAGGACACAAGGAGUAUUCAACUAGGGAUUUUCUUGGCUGAGCAAUCACAUGAUGGUGGCAGAUCAUGGAGUUGCAACGUCCCCCUACAUGUUGAAAGCUUCAAGAGUGACAAUGCACAUACUGGUUGAGAAGCAGCUGGUGUGAGGGAUUCAAGUGUUCAGUACUCCUCACCAGCAUUCCAGAAAUGUUUACAAGGUACCUAUUGAGCUCAUGAGAAAAGGCAGGCUUGGAUUCAACCCUAAAUGGAAGCAAGAAGCUAGAAGAAAGGGGGAGACAAGCUCUGGUCAUAAGAAGAAGCUCAAAGGCUGUUUUAAGUGUGAAGCAAGGAAGGCAUUGGAGUCUGCUUGCCAUUGAAGUAAGGCCAUGAUCCAGAGUUUAUGAGUCCCUCAACAUCAUCAUAAGGCUCAUAAACUCACUGGCCAAUCCCUAGGCUGAGAGGCUUGUACUCUUUUCCUAAGUGUGGUUUUAUCCCAAAGGGUUUUCUAUGCUUAGGUUUUUAAUGAGGCAAGUACUCUCAGUUCCAAGCUUGCCCAAAGAUCUCCUAUGGUCAAGUUUGAGGGGAGUGUUGACAUGAAGCAGAAUUAAGCUAAAGACUUAUAAGGUUUUAUAAGGCUUUAUAAGGCUUUAUAAGGAUUAUCCAGACUUGAGAAUUAAGCUGCCAGACUUGAGAAGUAAGCUACCAGACUUGAGACUUGAGUGUCAGACUUGAGUGCCUAAGAGUGAAAUUCAUGCAACUUCAACUUGAGAGGCAAAUUUGAAUUCAAAUUAGGUUCUGACCUUUGGAGAGAGAUGCUGGACAAGUGGGGAUUAAAAUAACAUGUUGGAGGGAAGAGAGAUGGUUGUUAGGAGCUGUCACUAUCACAUUGGAAGCUCUCAUGCAUCUCAGCCAUCCAAUUCAAAUUAAUUCAGAUCCUCUCAUCCCAACCAUUCAUUUUGAAUCCAGAUCUAUCUCUCUUUGUCUUCUUCUUUUUAAAGAGCUCCCAUUGUAAUCAAUUAUAAUCCAAGCUGAAAGAGGGGAGUUCUCCUUUCUUCUUCACCAUUCUCUUCUCUCUUGGUUACUGUCAAUCUCUAUAAUCUCUUGAUACUCAUACUCUCUUAUUCUCAACUUAAUUUACUCUUCAUCACUUAUCUCUCUGUUUACUAUGUUCCUCAUUGUCUUUUACUCUCAUAUUAAUCAUCUUUUCUUACAUGGUAUCAAAGCUUUAAGCUCCUGAACCUCACAAAAGCUUCCGCAAAUCUAAUUCAUUCUCAGUUCAUCUUCAUCUGAGUCUGGUACAACCUUUUGUCCAGCGGUCCAAAGGUUUUCCAAGAAGGAAGAACCCACAACCAGCUCUAAGGCAAGGUGUAUACAAGUCUCUAAGCCUCAAGAACCCUCAUCAAGCUCAACCAGUUCAGUCUA